rnacentral:lncRNA from 1 species
GCUGCCGGGCGGGGGCCUGGGGCCGCGGACGCUGGGGGCGCCUCGGCCGCGCUCAGCCUUUAGAUCGGAGAAUGCGGGCGGGGUGGGGGCGCUCGGGGUCCCCGCAGUCACUCCAGGGUCGAUUUCUCGGCGGGCGCCGCGGCCUGUGCGAGGCCGGGCCCCUUGGAGUGCCCCGGGAGGUGGUGCUGGGCGUCUGAACACCACAUCCCUUCCUGCGCCCGUGUGUGGGUUGGGAAUGCCGGGUGUAGGCCCUGGAUCAGAGCUGACGGGGUUGCGAGCGGCGUGGGGUGUGCCUGGGACGGUGACCGGAUGUGUCUUCCUGAAUCGUUGUAUUCGAGCUCCAGUUCUCUCUGUUUCUACAGCUGGGCCUCAGUCCUCACAGGGCUCUAGUGGGCGUUCAGCCACACCAGGAGAAGGCGCCCAGGGGAUUAACAGGACCCUUCCCUCUCCUGCUCUUCCCUCGCCCCCCAUGGCUCCCCCUCCCUCCUAUUUAGUAGGUACUUCUCCAGCACCCCACAGCGAUGAUGGAUGCUGGCCCUAAAGCCAGGCACUGCCGCCCUGCACUGUAGCAGAUGCCUAAAUAAAGUGUGGAGCCUGAAGCAGAAGUUUUGGGAGAUGCUUGCCUUCCUUUAGACCACAUUCCUCGCCUUUCUCAAGAUUUCUCCGUGACCCAACAUGAGUGAAGUUUCCUGCAAGAAACGGGACGACUAUUUGGAAUGGCCAGAGUAUUUUAUGGCUGUGGCCUUCUUAUCAGCACAGAGAAGCAAAGAUCCAAAUUCCCAGGUCGGCGCCUGCAUCGUGAAUUCAGAAAACAAGAUUGUCGGGAUUGGGUACAAUGGGAUGCCAAAUGGGUGCAGUGAUGACGUGUUGCCUUGGAGAAGGACAGCAGAGAAUAA